UAAGGAGCUUGCUCCUUUGACGUUAGCGGCGGACGGGUGAGUAACACGUGGGCAACCUACCUUAUAGUUUGGGAUAACUCCGGGAAACCGGGGCUAAUACCGAAUAAUCUAUUUUACUUCAUGGUGAAAUACUGAAAGACGGUUUCGGCUGUCGCUAUAAGAUGGGCCCGCGGCGCAUUAGCUAGUUGGUGAGGUAACGGCUCACCAAGGCGACGAUGCGUAGCCGACCUGAGAGGGUGAUCGGCCACACUGGGACUGAGACACGGCCCAGACUCCUACGGGAGGCAGCAGUAGGGAAUCUUCCACAAUGGGCGAAAGCCUGAUGGAGCAACGCCGCGUGAGUGAAGAAGGUUUUCGGAUCGUAAAACUCUGUUGUAAGGGAAGAACAAGUGCAGUAUUAACUGGCUGUACCUUGACGGGACCUUAUUAAAAAGCCACGGCUAUUUGAGUGCAGAAAGAAGAAAAGUGGAAUUUCACAGUGUAGCGGUGUAAUGGUAGAGAUUUGGAGGAACACCUGUGGGGAAAGGGGCAUUUUUUGUUUGUAAAUUACGCUGAGGGGCGAAAGAGUGGGGAGCAAACAGGAUUUGAUACCCUGGUAGUCCACGCCGUAAACGAUGAGUGUUAAGUGUUAGGGGGUUUCCGCCCCUUAGUGCGGCAGCUAACGCAUUAAGCCCUCCGCCUGGGGAG
rnacentral:rRNA from 1 species